rnacentral:tRNA from 1 species
GCCGGAGUGGCGGAACUGGCAGACGCAGCGGAUUCAAAAUCCGCCGGGCUCAAAACCCGUGCAGGUUCGAUUCCUGUCUCCGGCA